UCCAAUCCCCAAAGGGUGUGAUUCAUCCCAAACGCGAGCUGAAAACCUUACUAAUUUCACCUUCCUGUCCAAACUGCCUCCUUUUCCAGACUUCUACCCCUUCUACAUUCCGACGACAACCGACAUCGUGUUUUCUGCAAAAAGAAAAGCAAGCUGACUGCCAACCGUGGAGGGAAAGUUCUGGAAAGUGGCUCUCCCCAGAACAAAAAGCACCCUGUCAAGCACCGUAAACGGUCAGGAAAACAUGCCUCCAGACAAAGCGACACUAUUCAGCGGCCCCCGAGCCGCCUCCUGCACCCGUCCGGCUCGUUGACCCAACAGCUCACACAGCGUCGGCUGCAAAACUCUGGAAGCAAAGAGCUGUCUGCAGAAGGAGGACGGGAGCAAGACAAGGGGGCAGCCGCUGACGGCCCUCAGGCUUUCUGGUUCGCCGUGACCACAGGGCUGCUGGCCCUGCUGGCGAUGCAGAACUCCAGAGAUGAAUAGAGCUUGAAAAGGACAAGAGAAAAACGUGUAAAAAUGGCAUUCGGAGAUUCUGCUUGAACCCUGUCCACUUAACCACCACAGAGUCUGCUGAAGGAUCAACUAGCUUUCGGAGGUUACAUUUUUACCUGGAUAUAUCUCACAAAAAAAUGGAAACAAGUCAGAGUCAUGCAAAUAUGAGAAGGCCGCCCAAGAAUACAAGGACUCAAAGAGAAUGAAGCUCUGGUUUACUUUCCUCUUUUGGAAGGAAGAUGGAAGGGAAACACGUGCGAACCUACUGCUACCUAGAAUUAAAACUUCCAUAGGAGACAAGCAAGGGCUUUAGUGACUCGAUGAUAUGCAUUUGCUGAGUAAGAAACAAGGAGGUUAAGUAAUUUGCCUAAGGCUACGCAGCUAAUAAGGGGAAGAGCCAGGAUUUGAACUCAGGUCACCGGACUCCACAAUCCUUGUUCUUGAUCACGUGAAGAGGAGGAGAAAAACAGUCUCCCUUAUAAUUUUUCACCACUGUCAUCAAAGGAUUGGCAAUGGCCCUUUCAAAGCCUGUAAGCUGGGAGGGCCGGCCCCCACCCUCGACCUUGGCAAGGGGCGCAUGCAGAUCACCUGCAACGGUGCCACCCGGCCAGCCCUACCGCACCUACUACCACCUCGGGUAUCAAGGGACGCCUGCUUUGAGCAACUUCCCCAUGUGGAAAAGCCACAAACCCCAAUGACAGAAGAAACCAGAGGCAAGAAAAAAAGAAAAAGGAAAGGAAGCACCUCCACGGCCAGCAAUGAAAACAAACGCUCUGAGCAAGGCUGCAGCGAGCCAAGAGGAGACACACCACCAGGAGGACAUCCGGCCCGCGAACAGUCUGUCCACUGACCAGAAGGAAGGAGCCUUCUCGUUACCUGGGGCGGCUAAAGAAGCAAACCACAGGGGCCCGGAGCAAAGAUGUGGCUGAAGAGAAAAGCAAAAGCAAAAGACGAUGGCAAAUGAAAAGAGUGAAAAGAGCCUUGGCCGCAGUGGUGGCCGCAGCUGGGAGUGGGGCCAGGA